rnacentral:rRNA from 1 species
GUACGCUGGCGGCACGCCUAACACAUGCAAGUCGAACGAAGUAGCAAUACUUAGUGGCAGACGGGUGAGUAACAUGUAGGUAUCUGCCCUUUGGCCUGGAAUAACACGAGGAAACUUGUGCUAAUACCGGAUAAGUCUUUACGGAGAAAGCUUUAUGCACCAUUGGAUGAGCCUGCACUUGAUUAGUUUGUUGGUGGGGUAAUGGCCUACCAAGACUGUGAUCAAUAGCUGAUUUGAGAGGAUGAUCAGCCACAUUGGGACUGAGACACGGCCCAAACUCCUACGGGAGGCAGCAGUGGGGAAUCUUGCACAAUGGAGGAAACUCUGAUGCAGCGAUGCCGCGUGAGUGAAGAAGGCCUUUGGGUUGUAAAGCUCUUUCGUCGGGGAAGAAAAUGACUGUACCCGAAUAAGAAGGUCCGGCUAACUUCGUGCCAGCAGCCGCGGUAAUACGAAGGGACCUAGCGUAGUUCGGAAUUACUGGGCUUAAAGAGUUCGUAGGUGGUUGAAAAAGUUGGUGGUGAAAUCCCAGAGCUUAACUCUGGAACUGCCAUCAAAACUUUUCAGCUAGAGUAUGAUAGAGGAAAGCAGAAUUUCUAGUGUAGAGGUGAAAUUCGUAGAUAUUAGAAAGAAUACCAAUUGCGAAGGCAGCUUUCUGGAUCAUUACUGACACUGAGGAACGAAAGCAUGGGUAGCGAAGAGGAUUAGAUACCCUCGUAGUCCAUGCCGUAAACGAUGUGUGUUAGACGUUGGAAAUUUAUUUUCAGUGUCGCAGCGAAAGCGAUAAACACACCGCCUGGGGAGUACGACCGCAAGGUUAAAACUCAAAUGAAUUGACGGGGACCCGCACAAGUAGUGGAGCAUGUGGUUUAAUUCGAAGAUACGCGCAGAACCUUACCAACACUUGACAUGUUCGUCGCGACUCUAAGAGAUUAGAGUUUUCGGUUCGGCCGGACGAAACACAGGUGCUGCAUGGCUGUCGUCAGCUCGUGUCGUGAGAUGUUGGGUUAAGUCCCGCAACGAGCGCAACCCUCACUUUUAGUUGCCAUCAUUAAGUUGGGCACUCUGAAAGAACUGCCAGUGAUAAGCUGGAGGAAGGUGGGGAUGACGUCAAGUCCUCAUGGCCCUUACGUGUUGGGCUACACACGUGCUACAAUGGUAUCUACAACAGGAAGCAAGACUGCGAAGUUAAGCAAAUCCCUAAAAGAUACCUCAGUUCGGAUUGCACUCUGCAACUCGAGUGCAUGAAGCUGGAAUUACUAGUAAUCGUGGAUCAGCGUGCCACGGUGAAUGCGUUCCCGGGUCUUGUACACACCGCCCGUCACACCAUGGGAGUUGGUUCUACCUUAAGGCAAGGUUUCAAACCCUUGACCACGGUAUAGUCAGCGACUGGGGUGAAGUCGUAACAAGGUA